UACGAAGGGGGCAAGCGUUGUUCGGAAUUACUGGGCGUAAAGGGCGCGUAGGCGGCUUAUCAAGUCAGGCGUGAAAUUCCCGGGCUCAACCUGGGGGCUGCGCUUGAUACUGAUUGGCUUGAAUCCGGGAGAGGGAUGUGGAAUUCCAGGUGUAGCGGUGAAAUGCGCAGAUAUCAGGAAGAACACCCGUGGCGAAAGCGGCUCUCUGGGACGGUACUGACGCUGAGACGCGAAAGCGUGGGGAGCGAACAGG
rnacentral:rRNA from 1 species